AGAGAGAGACAUGCGCGCAUAUCAAUAAGCGGAGGAAAAGAAACUAACAAGGAUUCCCCUAGUAACGGCGAGUGAAGCGGGAAGAGCUCAAAUUUGAAAUCUUAAAGGGUUUCCCUUUACGAAUUGUAGUUUAAAGAAGUGUUUUCUGUUGAGGUUUUGGUAAAAGUUCUUUGGAAUAGGACAUCAUAGAGGGUGAGAAUCCCGUAUUUGACCUUUACUUUCAACUUUGUGAUACACUUUCAAAGAGUCGGAUUGUUUGGGAAUGCAGUCCAAAAUGGGUGGUAAAUUUCAUCUAAAGCUAAAUAUUGGCGAGAGACCGAUAGCGAACAAGUACCGUGAGGGAAAGAUGAAAAGAACUUUGAAAAGAGAGUUAAACAGUACGUGAAAUUGUCAAAAGGGAAGCGUUUGACACCAGUGUUGUUUUUCUGAAAAUCAAUUAAAGAACUGUUUAUGCUAAGUUGUUUAGACUUUAUCAGCUAACUGUUUAGUUUUGAGCUUUUCUUUAAUGCACUUUUCAGUUAACAAGUCAACAUCAAUUUCUUUUGCUGUAAAAAAGCUUGAGGAAGGUGGCUUGAGAUUCGUCUUAAGUGUCUUAUAGCCUCUUGCCUAUGCAGUCGGAGAGAUUGAGGUCUGCAGCGUAGAUCCUUCGGGGCUAAAUGCAUUUGUGCUAAGUUAUAGCAUUUUAUAGACAACUUGUUGACUAUGAUUUGUCUUGUAGCUUACUCGCUUAUGUUAUUUUACCUACGCUUAGGAUGUUGACGCAUGAGAUAUACGC
rnacentral:rRNA from 1 species